rnacentral:rRNA from 1 species
CUGUAAGAGAAUAGCACCCUGAGAACACCCAAUCUUGUCUGGUCUCAGAAGGUAAGCAGGAUAGGGCCCGGUUAGUGCUUGGAUGGGAGGUGGCCUGGGAAUAUCAGGUGCUGUAGG